rnacentral:rRNA from 1 species
GGUUAAGCGACUAAGCGUACACGGUGGAUGCCCCGGCAGUCAGAGGCGAUGAAGGGCGUGCUAUCUGCGAUAAGCGCCGUAAGGUGAUAUGAACCGUUAUAACCGGCGAUACCCGAAUGGGGAAACCCAGUGUGAUUCGUCACACUAUCAUUAACUGAAUCCAUAGGUUAAUGAGGCGAACCGGGGAACUGAAACAUCUAAGUACCCCGAGGAAAAGAAAUCAACCGAGAUUCCCCAGUAGCGGCGAGCGAACGGGAGGAGCCCAGAGCCUGAAUCAGCAUGUGUGUUAGUGGAAGCGUCUGGAAAGGCGCGCGAUACAGGGUGACAGCCCCGUACACAAAGCGCAUGCUGUGAGCGAUGAGUAGGGCGGGACACGUGGUAUCCUGCCCCACCAUGGGGACCAUCCUCCGUUGCCAAAUACUCCUGACCGCAUUCGAUAGUGAACCAGUACCGUGGGGAGGGAAAGUGAAAAGAACCCCCGGCGAGGGGAGUGAAAGAACUCAAACCGUGUACGUACAAGCAGUGGGGAGCACCCUUUGGGUGUGACUGCGUACCUUUUGUGGCAAUGGGUCAGCGACUUUAUACUUGCAGCAGCAGCUAACCGUAUAGGGAGCCGAGGGAAACCGAGCCCACCGGCGUUAAGUUGCAGGGUAUGACCGAAACUCGGUGAUCUGUUUCAUGGGCAGUUGAAGGUUGGGUAACACUACUGAGGACCGGAACUGACUAAUGUUGAAAAAAUUAGCGGAUGACCUGUGGCUGGGGUGAAAGGCCAAUCAAAAUCGCCGGGAGAUAGCUGGUUCUCCCGAAAGUUAUUUAGGUAGCGCCUCGUGACUAUCUCCGGGGUAGAGCACUGUUUCGCUAGGGGCCAUCCCGGCUACCACAACCCGAUGCAAACUGCGAAUACCGGAGAAUGUUAUCACGGGAGACACACGCAUAACGUCCGUCGUGAAGAGGAAACAACCCAGACCGCCAGCUAAGGUCCCAAAGUCAUGGUUAAGUGGGAAACGAUGGGAAGGCCCAGACAGCCGUGAUGUUGGCUUAGAAGCAGCCAUCAUUUAAAGAAAGCGUAAUAGCUCACUGGUCGAGUCGGCCUGCGCAAGAUGUAACGUACAAACCAUGCAAAUCGAUGCGCAGCGACACCAGGUGUUGCUGGGUAGGGGAGCGUUCUGUAAGCCUGCGAAGGUGGCCUGUGAGUGCGGCUGCUGAGGCAUCAGUAGCGAAUGCCGACAUAAGUAACGAUAAAGUGGUGGUGCUCGCUCGCCGAAGACCGCGGUUCCUGUCCAACGUUAAUCGGGCAGGGCGAGUUUGGUCCCAAGGCGAGGCCGAAAGGCGUAGUCGAUGGAAAACGGGUUAAUAUUCUCGCAAUUUCUGGUGUUACUGCGAAGGGGACGGAGAAGGCUAUGUUGGCCGGGCGACGGCGUCCCGGUUUAAGCGUGUAGGUGUGUGCGUUCCGUAAAUCCGGUUCACUUUAACACCGAGGCGUGACGACGGUACCCACGUUGCCGCAAAUGCCCUGCUUCCGUGAAAAGCCCUAAGCAUCAGGUAACAUCACCAAAAAUUCCAAACCGACACAGGUGGUCAGGUAGAGAAUACCAAGGCGCUUGAGAGAACUCGGGUGAAGGAACUAGGCAAAAUGGUGCCGUAAUCUCGGGAGAAGGCACGCUGACAUGUAGGUGAAGUGAUUUUACUCAUGGAGCUGAAGUCAGUCGAAGAUACCAGCUGGCUGCAACUGUUUAUUAAAAACACAGCACUGUGCAAACACGAAAGUGGACGUAUACGGUGUGACGCCUGCCCGGUGCCGGGUACGUUAAUUGAUGGGGUCAGCGCAAGCGAAGCUCCUGAUCGAAGCCCCGCAAACGGCGGCCGUAACUAUAACGGUCCUAAGGUAGCGAAAUUCCUUGUCGGUAAGUUCCGACCUGCACGAAUGGCGCAAUGAUGGCCGUGCUGUCUCCACCUGAGACCUACAGUGAAAUUCGAACUCGCUGUGAAGAUGCAGUGUACCCGCGGCAAGUACGGAAAGACCCCGUGAACCUUAAUACUAUAGCUUGACACCGGAACAUUGAGCCUUGAUGUGUAGGAUAGGUGGGAGGCUUUGAAGUGUGGACGCCAGUCUGCAUGGAGCCGACCUUGAAAUACCACCCCUUAAUGUUUGAUGUUCUAACGUGGACCCGUGAUCCGCUGUGACAGUGUCUGGUGGGUAAGUUUGACUGGGGCGGUCUCCUCCUAAAGAGUAACGGAGGAAGACGAAGGUUGGCUAAUCCCCGGUCGGACAUCAGGAGGUUAGUGCACGGCAUAAGCCAGCUUGACUGCGAGCGUGACGGCGCGAGCAGGUGCGAAAGCGGUGCCCGGUAGUGAUCCGGUGGUUCUGAAUGGAAGGCCAUCGCUCAACGGAUAAAAGGUACCCGGGAUAACAGUACGAUACCGCCCAAGAGUUCAUAUCGACGGCGGUGUUUGGCACCUCGAUGUCGGCCUUCCUCAUCAGCCAUCCUGGGGCUGAAGUAGGUCCCAGCGGUAUGGCUGAAAUGCCAUUUAAAGUGGUACGCGAGCUGGGUUUAGAACGUCGUGAGACAAAGCGGUCCCUAUUCGCCGUGGGCGCUGGAGAACUGAGGUGGGGCUACCCUAGUACGAGAGUGAAUCGGAGUGGACGCAUCACUGGUGUUCGGGUUGUCAUGCCAAUGGUAUAAUUGCCCGGUAGCAAAUGCGGAAGAGAUAAGUGCUGAAAGCAUCUAAGCACGAAACUUCACCCCGGAAAGAUGAGUUCUCCUGAGACCUUAGGUUCCUGAAGCGUGAACGUUGAAGACGACGACGCUGAUAGGCCGGUGUAAGCGCAGCGAUGCGUUGAGCCAUCCGUGGCACCACGAACCGUGAGGCUUAACCUA